rnacentral:lncRNA from 1 species
GCGAACGCAGUCCCCCACUACCACAAAUUAUGCAGUCGAGUUUCCCACAUUUGGGGAAAUCGCAGGGGUCAGCACAUCCGGAGUGCAGUGGAUAAGCCUCGCCCUGGGAAAACCACCUUCGUGAUCAUGGUAUCUCCCCUGCCAGGUGUGCAAAAGCGUUUUGGAUGCUUUUUUCCCCAUCCCCUUUCUGGGACACGUGUUAUGGUGAACGAAUAAUCAGGACCCCUCUCCCCGGUCUAACAGGCAAAACUGGCAAGCAAGCCGCAUAGGCUUAGAGUCAGUGCAAAAUCUAGGCUGUACAGCGAGGCGGCCUUGGAGGUCAUCUUAAGCCUGUGUCAGAAUGACCUCGCAACCCUUCACCUCGUGACGGAAGACGCCAGCGAGAAAAGAUCUGCAACCAGAAGAGAGAAAGGGUACCCAGCUCUCAUACCCUCUCGCUACGUCUUUAGGUUCGGGGGGGUACCUCGCCACCCUGGGACUUGCCUCCCUCCCCACAUAGAUGACAUCAGCAUUCCAGGGUACUGUAACCAAGAAAUUCUUACUUUAUAAACGAGAGAAAAACCAGAUGUACCCUGCCACGGAGGGAGGGUUUCGCCGUUUGAUUGUUGGCGUAUAGGACUGUUCAUGAGUAAGCCCCUUUCUGCUCUUAUGGACGGCCUCGUAAGAAGGCACAUAAACUGUGCUCAGAUCUGUAGACCUCCGUCAGAGCAGUUCCUGCAGGACGCUCUGUUGAGCUGUUUCCCAGGCUCGAGUCCUCACCUUUGGUUAUUGAACGAACUCUUUCAAGUAACUUUUAUCACGAUUCUUUAUUUCAGUUGACAUUAUUCAUGUUUGCACCUCCUGGGCUCAUCCACUUUCCUGAACUUGAACCCGGGGACCCGAGGGUCACCGUCAAUAGUCAAUGUGACCUUUCGACCUUGUCCCCAACACAGACCUAGCUGAAAGGAAGUCGGUCUUGUCAAUUUGCCGUUUUCUUGUUUAACCAGAGGGGUGACUCAAGGCUCACAGGGAUUUAUGAGCUUGUUUCACAGAAGGAAGAGAAUGCCUUCAAGGAAGUUCCGAUCACCAAUCACCAGAGAUCACCACUCAGCAGAUAACCGGCCCUCAGCUGCUGUUGAUGCCCAGAAGUGAGACUGCCCAAGGGCUUAUCAGGAGUGAAAGAAACACGCGUGACCCCUUGGUUUCUCCUGAGAAACUGCUCCUGCCAAGCCCCUUAGCUCUGUAAAAACCCCUGCUUUCUUCUCUCGUUCAGGUGGAUUUGAGAGAACCUAUCCUCCCGCCUUCUCCGCCAAUUCGAAUAAACCUUUCUCCAUCUCCAA